rnacentral:rRNA from 1 species
UACGAAGGGGGGCUAGCGUUGUUCGGAAUUACUGGGCGUAAAGCGCACGUAGGCGGAUAUUUAAGUCAGGGGGUGAAAUCCCGGAGCUCAACUCCGGAACUGCCUUUGAUACUGGGUAUCUUGAGUAUGGAAGAGGUAGUGGAAUUGCGAGUGUAGAGGUGAAAUUCGUAGAUAUUCGCAGGAACACCAGUGGCGAAGGCGGCUUACUGGUCCAUUACUGACGCUGAGGUGCGAAAGCGUGGGGAGCAAACAGG